rnacentral:rRNA from 1 species
GAUGAACGCUGGCGGCGUGCCUAAUACAUGCAAGUCGAACGACCGCACGAUAAGCUUUUUCCUCUGCUGUUAGCGGCUGGCGGGUGGGUAACACGUGGAUCACCUACUUCUAAUUCUUGGAUAACUUCGGGAAACCGCUGCUACUACCACCUCAUAUUUUCAACCGCUUGGAUCAAAAGUACAUCACGCUUUUCCUGUCUCUUUUAGCUGGAUCCGUGCUGGAUUAGCUAGUUGGUAAGGUACCGGCUUACCAAGGCAACGAUGCGUAGCCGACCUGAGAGGGUGAUCGGCCACACUGGAACUGAGACACGGUCCAGACUCCUACGGGAGGCAGCAGUAGGGAAUAUUGGGCAAUGGGCGAAAGCCUGACGGAGCAACGCCGCGUGGGUGAAGAAGGUCUUCGGAUCGUAAAGCCCUGUUAUUAGGGAAGAAAAGAUGUGGAAGAAAACGCGGAUGUCUUGACGGUACCUAAAGAGAAAGCACCGGCUAACUUCGUG